rnacentral:rRNA from 1 species
UAACACUUAGAAAUAGGUGCUAAUACCGCAUAACAACAGAAAGCGCAUGCUUUUUGUUUGAAAACCAAGGUGGUAUGGGAUGGACCCGCGUCUGAUUAGCUGGUUGGCGGGGUAAAGGCCCACCAAGGCGACGAUCAGUAGCCGGCCUGAGAGGGUGGACGGCCACAUUGGGACUGAGACGCGGCCCAAACUCCUACGGGAGGCAGCAGUGGGGAAUAUUGCACAAUGGGGGAAACCCUGAUGCAGCGACGCCGCGUGAGUGAAGAAGUAAUUCGUUAUGUAAAGCUCUAUCAGCAGGGAAGAAAAUGACGGUACCUGAGUAAGAAGCCCCGGCUAACUACGUGCCAGCAGCCGCGGUAAUACGUAGGGGGCAAGCGUUAUCCGGAUUUACUGGGUGUAAAGGGAGCGUAGACGGCAGUGCAAGUCUGGAGUGAAAGGCGGGGGCUCAACCCCCGGACUGCUCUGGAAACUGUACGGCUGGAGUGCAGGAGAGGUAAGUGGAAUUCCUAGUGUAGCGGUGAAAUGCGUAGAUAUUAGGAGGAACACCAGUGGCGAAGGCGGCUUACUGGACUGUAACUGACGUUGAGGCUCGAAAGCGUGGGGAGCAAACAGGAUUAGAUACCCUGGUAGUCCACGCCGUAAACGAUGAUCACUAGGUGU